rnacentral:rRNA from 1 species
CUACGGGCGGCAGCAGUGGGGAAUAUUGCACAAUGGGCGCAAGCCUGAUGCAGCCAUGCCGCGUGUAUGAAGAAGGCCUUCGGGUUGUAAAGUACUUUCAGCGGGGAGGAAGGGAGUAAAGUUAAUACCUUUGCUCAUUGACGUUACCCGCAGAAGAAGCACCGGCCAACUCCGUGCCAGCAGCCGCGGUAAUACGGAGGGUGCAAGCGUUAAUCGGAAUUACUGGGCGUAAAGCGCACGCAGGCGGUUUGUUAAGUCAGAUGUGAAAUCCCCGGGCUCAACCUGGGAACUGCAUCUGAUACUGGCAAGCUCGAGUCUCGUAGAGGGGGGUAGAAUUCCAGGUGUAGCGGUGAAAUGCGUAGAGAUCUGGAGGAAUACCGGUGGCGAAGGCGGCCCCCUGGACGAAGACUGACGCUCAGGUGCGAAAGCGUGGGGAGCAAACAGGAUUAGAUACCCGCGUAGUC